rnacentral:lncRNA from 1 species
CAGGCAGCCCCUAUAGCCCCCAUAUAUGCCAGAGAAGAGGCAGGGCCGGCUGGGAGGGCUGGGCUCACUGAGAGGGGCUUUGUGUCCAUCAAUAUCCAUCAACAUCAUAAGCCAGCUUUAGAAUACAUGGAGCAUGAUAGGAUGCGACAAGCCUAAGGAGGAGGCGCGUGCUUCUGUGAAUGUCAGACAUUAUAUCAAUUAUGAGUGGAAUUGAGGCCCCGGCUUGGUG